CCUACGGGUGGCUGCAGUGGGGAAUAUUGGGCAAUGGGGGGAACCCUGAUGCAGCGACGCCGCGUGGGUGAAGGAGUGCUUCGGCAUGUAAAGCCCUAUCGGCAGGGAAGAAGCAAGACGGUACCUGACUAAGAAGCCCAGGCUAACUACGUGCCAGCAGCCGCGGUAAUACGUAGGGGGCGAGCGUUAUCCGGAUUCACUGGGUGUAAAGGGAGCGUAGACGGGCAAGAAAGCCAGGGGUGAAAGCCCGGGGCCUAACCCCGGGACUGCCCUUGAAAUUGCAUGUCUGGAGUUCGGGAGGGGCAGGCGGAAUUCCUGGUGUAGCGGUGAAAUGCGUAGAUAUCAGGAGGAACA
rnacentral:rRNA from 1 species